rnacentral:rRNA from 1 species
GACGUAGGGGGCAAGCGUUAUUCGGAAUUAUUGGGCGUAAAGCGCGCGCAGGCGGUUCCUUAAGUCUGAUGUGAAAGCCCACGGCUCAACCGUGGAGGGUCAUUGGAAACUGGAGAACUUGAGUACAGAAGAGGAAAGCGGAAUUCCACGUGUAGCGGUGAAAUGCGUAGAGAUGUGGAGGAACACCAGUGGCGAAGGCGGCUUUCUGGUCUGUAACUGACGCUGAGGCGCGAAAGCGUGGGGAGCAAACAGG